CCUACGUUUCAUCUAAUGAAUGAGCAGCAGACUUGUUUCCUGUGAUGACCUCUGAAUGUCUGCUGCUCGUCUCCGUAUCAGGACAUCACAGCCUGCAUUACGGCUUUCCUUUGACGGUGUCCUCUUGUAGUACGUCACCCCUGAUCCAGCUUUAAGUUUUGGACUACACUUCCCAUGAUUUGGAAGGUUUGGGGGAUGUAAACAGGAAGUAUAAUGCAGCCGUGGAUUCAGUGACUUAGCUAUUGGCUCCAACUUAAGCCAUAUUUGUUUUGUCUAUUUGUUUACAUUUAUUCAAAUUGUCUCCAUUAAAAGUAUGCUGAAUUAGCUGUUAGCCGUCCCUUUGCAGUGUAACUAAGGAAGUACUUAACUAGCGCUGUGUUACUCUGAUGCAAGAAGCUUCUGCAGCCUCUUUCUUUCUGAGGUGGACGUCAGAGAUAAAACAUGUCAGUCACAUUGAGCUGGUAAAGAGGAGCAGGAGUCCUGUAGAUCCUCCUACCUGUCUCUUGAGGGUCACCAGCUCCAUGUCCAGCUGACGGAGGAGGGUGUUGGCGGCGGAGGCGUUGCAGGACACGGCCACCACGUCCUCCUGGGUCAGUUUCAGCAGCUCGGGUGCGUCCACGUACCUCUUUCUUGGUUUCCUUGUUGGGGUCGUAGUCGCUGUCGUUGGCUUCAACGGGAGCGGCCUCCUCCAUCUCCUCAUCACUACGGCAACAACAAGAAAACACAGUUUAAAUAUCAACAACAAAUUAAAGCUACAACAAAGAUGUGUCCCGAACAGACACAUGAUGUCACACCAAAGAAGAAGAACGGAAAAAACGAGAUAUGACAAAUAAUAAGUUGUAACGUCUUUAACACAAGAGAUGCACCGAACAGUUUGAAGCUUCAUUCGUAACGUUGACAUUCAAAUUCUAAAUCAACGUUCGAAUGCUGCACGGACUUUAAACAAAUGAAAUGUGUAUUUCUCUUCUUUCUGUCGGACGCUGCAGUGACAUGCAGAUCAAGCUGUAAUCAGGAAUUGAGUUGUUACAAUAAGAAAAGGUCGUUAUGUGUCGACGCUCGCUUCGUGCUCCAAA